UACCAACAUCCAUGAUGAUGCCAGCAGUGA
rnacentral:piRNA from 1 species